rnacentral:rRNA from 2 species
UGGGGAAUAUUGGGCAAUGGAGGAAACUCUGACCCAGCGACGCCGCGUGCGGGAUGAAGGCCUUCGGGUUGUAAACCGCUUUCAGCAGGGAAGAAGCGAAAGUGACGGUACCUGCAGAAGAAGCACCGGCUAACUAUGUGCCAGCAGCCGCGGUAAUACAUAGGGUGCAAGCGUUGUCCGGAAUUAUUGGGCGUAAAGAGCUCGUAGGUGGUUCGUCACGUCGGAUGUGAAACUCUGGGGCUUAACCCCAGACCUGCAUUCGAUACGGGCGAGCUUGAGUAUGGUAGGGGAGUCUGGAAUUCCUGGUGUAGCGGUGGAAUGCGCAGAUAUCAGGAGGAACACCAAUGGCGAAGGCAGGACUCUGGGCCAUUACUGACACUGAGGAGCGAAAGCGUGGGGAGCGAACAGG